rnacentral:rRNA from 1 species
GAUGAACGCUAGCUACAGGCUUAACACAUGCAAGUCGAGGGGAAACGAUAGAGAAAGCUUGCUUUUUCUAGGCGUCGAUCGGCGCACGGGUGAGUAACGCGUAUCCAACCUGCCCACCACUUGGGGAUAACCUUGCGAAAGUAAGACUAAUACCCAAUGAUAUCUCAAGAAGACAUCUGAAUGAGAUUAAAGAUUUAUCGGUGAUGGAUGGGGAUGCGUCUGAUUAGCUUGUUGGCGGGGUAACGGCCCACCAAGGCGACGAUCAGUAGGGGUUCUGAGAGGAAGGUCCCCCCACAUUGGAACUGAGACACGGUCCAAACUCCUACGGGAGGCAGCAGUGAGGAAUAUUGGUCAAUGGGCGAGAGCCUGAACCAGCCAAGUAGCGUGCAGGAUGACGGCCCUAUGGGUUGUAAACUGCUUUUAUAAGGGAAUAAAGUGAGUCUCGUGAGACUUUUUGCAUGUACCUUAUGAAUAAGGACCGGCUAAUUCCGUGCCAGCCGCCGCAGUAA